rnacentral:misc_RNA from 1 species
UCUCUCUCUCUCUCUCUCUCCCCGUAUAUUUGCAUGUGCGCGCCUGCUAAAUGAACACUAGUUGGCUUCUGUAGUUCUUUUGUUUAUAAAAGAUUAGAUCAGUUGGCGUGUACCUGAAGUUGUGUGGAAAUUUGCGUUUAUCUUUGGAUGAUGAUAAUUGUGGUUGAGUUGCAGGACUAAAAGAUGGAUACACUUGGUUUAGGUAAGUUUUGGAUUUCUAGGCCUUGCAAUAGUAGGCCAACCGGGGAUUUGGUGAAUGAUACCUUUGAUAUAGGUAAUGGUGAUUCAAAAUAUCCCCUUUUAAGCUUGUUGUUGGUGUUGGUACAGUAUUUUUUUGAAGCUUGAACUUAACAAAUUUGCUGUUGUAAGAUUCCAAGCCAGUGCAUAAUUGAUAAACUCUUGCUUAGACAGUAUCGCCAUGCUAUGGUAGCUAAGUAUUCGUCCAUCAUGUUAUUUGGUUUCGCUAAGAAAAAUGCUGUGUAUUUACAGCCAGGCCUUGUGCAACUAAAUUUUGUGAGCUUUGGUGUCUGGUUGGGCUGGUGUAGAAGCUUCUUCAUGCUAUCAGGGGGAAAAAA